rnacentral:rRNA from 1 species
GAUGAACGCUAGCGGCAGGCCUAACACAUGCAAGUCGAGGGGGAAGUUACUUUCGGGUAACAGAGACCGGCGUACGGGUGCGUAACGCGUAUACAAUCUGCCUUUCACUGGGGGAUAGCCCGAAGAAAUUUGGAUUAAUACCCCAUAGUAUAGUAGUGUGGCAUCACACGACUAUUAAAGCCUUGGUGGUGAAAGAUGAGUAUGCGUUCUAUUAGCUAGUUGGAGAGGUAACGGCUCCCCAAGGCGAUGAUAGAUAGGGGUUCUGAGAGGGAUGUCCCCCACACUGGUACUGAGAUACGGACCAGACUCCUACGGGAGGCAGCAGUGAGGAAUAUUGGACAAUGGUCGGAAGACUGAUCCAGCCAUGCCGCGUGCAGGAUGAAGGUCUUAUGGAUUGUAAACUGCUUUUGUAAGGGAAGAAUAAGAGCUACGCGUAGUUUGAUGACGGUACCUUACGAAUAAGCAUCGGCUAACUCCGUGCCAGCAGCCGCGGUAAUACGGAGGAUGCGAGCGUUAUCCGGAAUCAUUGGGUUUAAAGGGUCUGUAGGCGGGGCUUGUAAGUCAGAGGUGAAAGCGCUCAGCUCAACUGAGCAACUGCCUUUGAAACUGUUGGUCUUGAAUGGUUGUGAAGUAGUUGGAAUGUGUAGUGUAGCAGUGAAAUGGCGUAGAUAUGUGGAGGAAUACCGAUGGCGAAGGCAGCCCCCUGGGAUAACACUGACGCUCAUGCACGAAAGCGUGGGGAAGCAAAACAGG